rnacentral:rRNA from 1 species
GAUGAACGCUGGCGGCGUGCCUAAUACAUGCAAGUCGAGCGAACAGAUAAGGAGCUUGCUCCUUUGACGUUAGCGGCGGACGGGUGAGUAACACGUGGGUAACCUACCUAUAAGACUGGGAUAACUUCGGGAAACCGGAGCUAAUACCGGAUAAUAUUUCGAACCGCAUGGUUCGAUAGUGAAAGAUGGUUUUGCUAUCACUUAUAGAUGGACCCGCGCCGUAUUAGCUAGUUGGUAAGGUAACGGCUUACCAAGGCGACGAUACGUAGCCGACCUGAGAGGGUGAUCGGCCACACUGGAACUGAGACACGGUCCAGACUCCGACGGGAGGCAGCAGUAGGGAAUCUUCCGCAAUGGGCGAAAGCCUGACGGAGCAACGCCGCGUGAGUGAUGAAGGUCUUCGGAUCGUAAAACUCUGUUAUUAGGGAAGAACAUAAGUGUAAGUAACUGUGCACGUCUUGACGGUACCUAAUCAGAAAGCCACGGCUAACUACGUG